AUGAAGGUGGUAAAACGAGAGUUGCACAGAAAUAGACAUCAAGAGGUGAUCCCAAAGCAGGCUCAUGUGGAUCGAAGUCCAGAAGGAUCUCAACAAGUGUGCUCACCUGUGCAGAUGGGGCAAGGAGGAGGCAGUCUCCCAGAAGCACAGCCUCUGCCUCUGGCCCACAGCUGGCAACCCUGUGGGGACAAUGUGCAUAUGCAGCCACAGAGGCAGAUGGGGCGAGGAGGAGGCAUGGCCCCAAAUAUGGGACUGCAGCAAGUGGACUGUGGUGGGGAGGCUACAGAGGUGACUGUGCAGGUGUGCCCUCAAAAGCUGAGCCACAGGUGGGAGGCCCCAGAAGUGAAUGUACAGGUGAGGCCUCAGAAGCCUAGUCAUGGGUGGGAGGCUCCAGAGGUGACCGUGCAGGUACAGUUACAGCAGCAGAGCUGGGGACCAGCGAUCCCACAGGUAACUGUGCAGGUACAGCUGCAGGGGCAAAGAACAGCUAGCAUCAAAGUGACUGUGCAGCUGCAGUUGGGCCAUGACCAAGAAGAGGUAAUCUUUGCCCAGGACCAAGGUGAGGAAAUGUUAGGGAAUGGAGAGCAGCAGACACCGAAACAAAAUAGAGGAGAGUCAAUGGCAAGAUCUGAAGGUGAGAGGGAAUCUGCUGUGGUGGAGCUGGUGUCACAGGGGGUUCAUAACCAAGAGGAGGACCAGGUAGGAGCAGUGAUAAAACCCCAACACAACAAGUGCCGAGAAGAGGAAACAGCAGAAGCAAUGCAGCUUCAGGAGACUUGCAUCCAAAAAGCAGGCCUGGAUGGGACUGUGACAGAGGAACAAAUGCAGGACCAGAGCCAGGAGCAAGAACUGAAAGAAGACUUGCUUCCACAAAAGGAGAGUCAAAGAGCUGCAGAGACAAGGCAGGAGCAAGGUGAUGUCCAAGUCCAGGAAGGGCCAAAAGGUCUGGAAGACCUGGGGCAAGAAGUGUCUAAGAAACGCCCACGCGACAUACCAAAUUAUUUUGUCUCUAUUCCAAUAACAGAUGAUCAGGUAUUUUGA
rnacentral:lncRNA from 1 species